UAGGGAAUCUUCCACAAUGGGCGCAAGCCUGAUGGAGCAACGCCGCGUGUGUGAUGAAGGCUCUCGGGUCGUAAAGCACUGUUGUAUGGGAAGAAAUGCUAGAAUAGGGAAUGAUUCUAGUUCGACGGUACCAUACCAGAAAGGGACGGCUAAAUACGUGCCAG
rnacentral:rRNA from 1 species